rnacentral:rRNA from 1 species
CAGUAGCCGCGGGAAUACAGAGGGUGCGAGCGUUAAUCGGAUUUACUGGCCGUAAAGCGUGCGUAGGCGGCUUCUUAAGUCGGAUGUGAAAUCCCUGAGCUUAACUUAGGAAUUGCAUUCGAUACUGGGAAGCUAGAGUAUGGGAGAGGAUGGUAGAAUUCCAGGUGUAGCGGUGAAAUGCGUAGAGAUCUGGAGGAAUACCGAUGGCGAAGGCAGCCAUCUGGCCUAAUACUGACGCUGAGGUACGAAAGCAUGGGGAGCAAACAGGAUUAGAUACCCCUGUAGUCCCUGUCUCUUAUAC